UACGUAGGGUGCAAGCGUUGUCCGGAAUUAUUGGGCGUAAAGAGCUCGUAGGCGGUUUGUUGCGUCGGCUGUGAAAGCCCGGGGCUUAACCCCGGGUCUGCAUUCGAUACGGGCUGGCUAGAGUGUGGUAGGGGAGAUCGGAAUUCCUGGUGUAGCGGUGAAAUGCGCAGAUAUCAGGAGGAACACCGGUGGCGAAGGCGGAUCUCUGGGCCAUUACUGACGCUGAGGAGCGAAAGCGUGGGGAGCGAACAGG
rnacentral:rRNA from 1 species